rnacentral:rRNA from 1 species
AUUGAACGCUGGCGGCAUGCCUUACACAUGCAAGUCGAACGGCAGCACGGGAGCAAUCCUGGUGGCGAGUGGCGAACGGGUGAGUAAUAUAUCGGAACGUACCCAGUCGUGGGGGAUAACGUAGCGAAAGCUACGCUAAUACCGCAUACGAUCUAUGGAUGAAAGCGGGGGGAUCGCAAGACCUCGCGCGAUUGGAGCGGCCGAUAUCAGAUUAGGUAGUUGGUGAGGUAAAGGCUCACCAAGCCGACGAUCUGUAGCUGGUCUGAGAGGACGACCAGCCACACUGGGACUGAGACACGGCCCAGACUCCUACGGGAGGCAGCAGUGGGGAAUAUUGGACAAUGGGCGAAAGACCUGAUCCAGCAAUGCCGCGUGAGUGAUGAAGCUCGGUGUAAGUACGUACUUUACUUACCGGUUACGG